CGCUAUCACUCCUACGGGAGGCAGCAGUGGGGAAUCUUGGACAAUGGGGGCAACCCUGAUCCAGCCAUGCCGCGUGAGUGAUGAAGGCCUUAGGGUCGUAAAGCUCUUUCGCCAGGGAUGAUAAUGACAGUACCUGGUAAAGAAACCCCCGGCUAACUCCGUGCCAGCAGCCGCGGUAAUACGGAGGGGGUUAGCGUUGUUCGGAAUUACUGGGGCGUAAAGCGCGCGUAGGCGGACCAGAAAGUUGGGGUGAAAUCCCCGGGGCUCAACCCCGGAACUGCCUCCAAAACUCCUGGUCUUGAGUUCGAGAGAGGUGAGUGGAAUUCCGAGUGUAGAGGUGAAAUUCGUAGAUAUUCGGAGGAACACCAGUGGCGAAGGCGGCUCACUGGCUCGAUACUGACGCUGAGGUGCGAAAGUGUGGGGAGCAAACAGGAUUAGAUACCCUGGUAG
rnacentral:rRNA from 1 species